CCUACGGGCGGCUGCAGUGAGGAAUAUUGGUCAAUGGGCGAGAGCCUGAACCAGCCAAGUCGCGUGAAGGAUGAAGGAUCUAUGGUUUGUAAACUUCUUUUAUAUGGGAAUAAAACAGGGUAUGCAUACCCUCUUGUAUGUACCAUAUGAAUAAGGAUCGGCAAACUCCGUGCCAGCAGCCGCGGUAAUACGGAGGAUCCGAGCGUUUUCCGGAUUUAUUGGGUUGAAAGGGGUCGUAGGAGGAUUGUUAAGUCGGUUGUGAAAGUUUGGGGCUCAACCGUAAAAUUGCAGUUGAAACUGGCAGUCUUGAGUACAGUAGAGGUGAGCGGAAUUCGUGGUGUAGCAGUGAAAUGCGUAGAUAUCACGAAGAACUCCGAUUGCGAAGGCAGCUCACUGGACUGCAACUGACACUGAUGCUCGAAAGUGUGGGUAUCAAACAGGAUUAGAUACCCUUGUAGUC
rnacentral:rRNA from 1 species